GACGAACGCUGGCGGCGUGCUUAACACAUGCAAGUCGAGCGAUGAAGCACCUUCGGGUGUGAAUUAGCGGCGAACGGGUGAGGAACACGUGAGAGAUCUGCCUUCAACACUGGGAUAACUCCGGGAAACCGGGGCUAAUACCGGAUAUGAAACCUGCGGGCAUCCGCGGGGUUGGCAAGUUUUUCGGUUGAAGAUGAUCUCGCGGCCUAUCAGCUUGUUGGUGAGGUAAUGGCUCACUAAGGCGACGACGGGUAGCCGGCCUGAGAGAGCGACCGGCCACACUGGGACUGAGACACGGCCCAGACUCCUACGGGAGGCAGCAGUGGGGAAUAUUGGGCAAUGGAGGAAACUCUGACCCAGCGACGCCGCGUGCGGGAUGAAGGCCUUCGGGUUGUAAACCGCUUUCAGCAGGGAAGAAGCGAAAGUGACGGUACCUGCAGAAGAAGCACCGGCUAACUAUGUGCCAGCCGCCGCAGUAA
rnacentral:rRNA from 1 species